ensembl:snoRNA
UUUUAAUGAUGAAAAACUGCUUAAUUGCAAGUAGGGACAUGAGAAUAGUGAAUGUGUUCGAUUUUACAUUGUCUGAAAAAA